ACUCCUACGGGAGGCAGCAGUGGGGAAUAUUGCACAAUGGGCGCAAGCCUGAUGCAGCCAUGCCGCGUGUAUGAAGAAGGCCUUCGGGUUGUAAAGUACUUUCAGCAGUGAGGAAGGUGGGUAUGUUAAUAGCAUAUUCAUUUGACGUUAGCUGCAGAAGAAGCACCGGCUAACUCCGUGCCAGCAGCCGCGGUAAUACGGAGGGUGCGAGCGUUAAUCGGAAUUACUGGGCGUAAAAGCGCAUGCAGGUGGUUUGUUAAGUCAGAUGUGAAAGCCCGGGGCUCAACCUCGGAAUUGCAUUUGAAACUGGCAAACUAGAGUACUGUAGAGGGGGGUAGAAUUUCAGGUGUAGCGGUGAAAUGCGUAGAGAUCUGAAGGAAUACCGGUGGCGAAGGCGGCCCCCUGGACAGAUACUGACACUCAGAUGCGAAAGCGUGGGGAGCAAACAGGAUUAGAUACCCUGGUAGCGUAG
rnacentral:rRNA from 1 species